UCAGAGACUGUGUCUUUCUUUGCUUCCUUAUUGACUUGAGCUGUGUCAGAGGUCAAUCUUUCUUUUUGAGGUUCUGCAACAUGAGCUUUGUCAGAGAUUGCAGCUUCUGUUUUCUUUUCCCUCACAACUUGAUCCUUGUCAGAGGUUGUAGGCUUCUUCUUUUCCCAGCCUCUCUCCAGAUGUUCAUCUACUUUGCUUUUACCCUUGGAGGUGUAUUCAUCUUCAGAGUAUAC
rnacentral:lncRNA from 1 species